rnacentral:rRNA from 1 species
ACGUGAUCUGAGUUCAGACCGGAGCAAUCCAGGUCAGUUUCUAUCUAUAAGAAAAAUUUUCUAGUACGAAAGGACCGAAAAAUUAUAGCCAAUAUUCUCAAUAAGCUAUCCAAUAAACUCUUGAAUUUAACUCAAACAGCAAAUAGUUCAAUACCACCACCUCUAGACCAGAGG